rnacentral:rRNA from 1 species
UACAGAGGGUGCGAGCGUUGUCCGGAAUUACUGGGCGUAAAGGGCGCGUAGGCGGCUUGGUAAGUCGGGUGUGAAAGUCAGCGGCUCAACCGCUGGACUGCCUUCGAGACUGCCUGGCUUGAGCAUGGUAGAGGCUGGCGGAAUUCCCGGUGUAGCGGUGGAAUGCGUAGAGAUCGGGAAGAACAUCGGUGGCGAAGGCGGCCAGCUGGGACAUUGCUGACGCUGAGGCGCGAAAGCGUGGGUAGCAAACGGG